UAAAAGGUUUUAAGUGUACUGGAGCGGAAAGAACAUUAGCUGGAUGUAAAUUUGGAACCAUUGGCCUAGGAGACUGCAGUAAUACUGGUGCUGUAGAAGUGGAAUGUAAUACUGAAGUGAAAAAGCUAUUUCGACUUGUCAAUGGGACUUCAACAAAUGAAGGGCGGGUAGAGGUACUUAUCAACGGGGAGUGGGGCACAGUUUGUGAUGAUUCCUGGGACGUUAAGGAUGCAACUGUCGUUUGCAGAACUUUAGGAUUUUCAGGAAUCUCAACUGCUCACCAAGGACGUCAUUUUGCUGGAGGCUCGGGAACAAUUUGGUUGGAUGACGUAAAGUGUGAUGGAACCGAGGCUUCUCUAUUUGAUUGUACUCACAACGGGUACGGGAAGGCAAAUUGUGGUCACUAUGAAGAUGCCGGUGUAACAUGUACUUAAUUCCUAUAACGAACAAACAAA